AGAGAGAGACAUGCGCGCAUAUCAAUAAGCGGAGGAAAAGAAACUAACAAGGAUUCCCCUAGGUAACGGCGAGUGAAGCGGGAAGAGCUCAAAUUUGAAAUCUUAAAGGGUUUCCCUUUACGAAUUGUAGUUUAAAGAAGUGUUUUCUGUUGAGGUUUUGGUAAAAGUUCUUUGGAAUAGGACAUCAUAGAGGGUGAGAAUCCCGUAUUUGACCUUUACUUUCAACUUUGUGAUACACUUUCAAAGAGUCGGAUUGUUUGGGAAUGCAGUCCAAAAUGGGUGGUAAAUUUCAUCUAAAGCUAAAUAUUGGCGAGAGACCGAUAGCGAACAAGUACCGUGAGGGAAAGAUGAAAAGAACUUUGAAAGAGAGAGCUAAACAGUACGUGAAAUUGUCAAAAGGGAAGCGUUUGACACCAGUGUUGUUUUUCUGAAAAUCAAUUAAAGAACUGUUUAUGCUAAGCUGUUUAGACUUUAUCAGCUAUCUGUUUAGUUUUGAGCUUUUCUUUAAUGCACUUUUCAGUUAACAAGUCAACAUCAAUUUCUUUUGCUGUAAAAAAGCUUGAGGAAGGUGGCUUGAGAUUCGUCUUAAGUGUUUAUAGCCUCUUGCCUAUGCAGUCGGAGAGAUUGAGGUCUGCAGCGUAGAUCCUUCGGGGCUAAAUGCAUUUGUGCUAAGUUAUAGCAUUUUAUAGACAACUUGUUGACUAUGAUUUGUCUUGUAGCUUACUCGCUUAUGUUAUUUUACCUACGCUUAGGAUGUUGACGCAUGAGAUAUACGC
rnacentral:rRNA from 1 species